UCGGGAAUUUUGGGCAAUGGGCGAAAGCCUGACCCAGCAACGCCGCGUGAGGGAUGAAGUAUUUCGGUAUGUAAACCUCGAAAGAAUGGGAAGAAUAAAUGACGGUACCAUUUAUAAGCUCCGGCUAACUACGUGCCAGCAGCCGCGGUAAUACGUAGGGAGCAAGCGUUGUUCGGAUUUACUGGGCGUAAAGGGCGCGUAGGCGGCGCGGUAAGUCACUUGUGAAAUCUCUGAGCUUAACUCAGAACGGCCAAGUGAUACUGCUGUGCUAGAGGGCGGAAGAGNCAACCGGAAUUCUUGGUGUAGCGGUGAAAUGCGUAGAUAUCAAGAGGAACACCUGAGGCGAAGGCGGGUUGCUGGGCCGACACUGACGCUGAUGCGCGAAAGCCAGGGGAGCAAACG
rnacentral:rRNA from 1 species